rnacentral:rRNA from 1 species
ACCUUCGGCAACAUACGUCGACUUCGGGUGUCGCCUACUCGAUUGGUGUGACGGGCGGUGUGUACAAGGCCCAAGUACAUAUUCACCGCGGUAUGGCUGACCCGCGAUUACUACCGAUUCCAUCUUCAUGGGGUCGGGUUGCAGACCCCAAUCCGCACUGGGGGCACCUUUUUGAGAUUUGCUCGUCCUUGCAGACUUGCUCCUCAUUGUAGUGCCCAUUGUAGCACGUGUGUCGCCCAGAGCAUAAGGAUCAUAAUGACUUGACGUCAUCCCCUCCUUCCUCCGGAUAUUCUCCGGCAGUCCCCUUAUAGUACCCGGCAUUACCCGCUGGCAAUUAAGAGCAGGGGUUGCGCUCGUUACGGGACUUAACCCAACGUCCCACGACACGAGCUGACGACAGCCAUGCAAUACCUGCCACGGCUCCUCAAGCAAAGCUUGAGGUCG